rnacentral:rRNA from 1 species
UGGGGAAUUUUGGACAAUGGGCGAAAGCCUGAUCCAGCAAUGCCGCGUGUGUGAAGAAGGCCUUCGGGUUGUAAAGCACUUUUGUCCGGAAAGAAAUCCUUGGCUCUAAUACAGUCGGGGGAUGACGGUACCGGAAGAAUAAGCACCGGCUAACUACGUGCCAGCAGCCGCGGUAAUACGUAGGGUGCAAGCGUUAAUCGGAAUUACUGGGCGUAAAGCGUGCGCAGGCGGUUUGCUAAGACCGAUGUGAAAUCCCCGGGCUCAACCUGGGAACUGCAUUGGUGACUGGCAGGCUAGAGUAUGGCAGAGGGGGGUAGAAUUCCACGUGUAGCAGUGAAAUGCGUAGAGAUGUGGAGGAAUACCGAUGGCGAAGGCAGCCCCCUGGGCCAAUACUGACGCUCAUGCACGAAAGCGUGGGGAGCAAACAGGAUUAGAUACCCUGGUAGUCCACGCCCUAAACGAUAUCAACUAGUUGUUGGGGAUUCAUUUCCUUAGUAACGUAGCUAACGCGUGAAGUUGACCGCCUGGGGAGUACGGUCGCAAGAUUAAAACUUAAA